UCAGUGUCUAACACUGCAUAAUAACUACCGAGUUCAUUGGACAGUAAUUUUUAAUCCAUUGAAAGUUUCUACGAAAAAAUAUUUUAAUACCACUCAGUGAAGCAGCGAUGUAGAACCAACCAGUGUCAAAUGAUGUCGGUGGCUAUCAUUCAGUGCUAAACACUGAGUUAACGAAUCACCCCGCUCAUAGUUUUUAGUUUUUAAGUUCACUGAUAUAAUU